AGGCCAGUAGCUCCAACGGUUAGAGCGACUGAUUCCAAAUCAGUAGGUUGAAGGUUCGAAUCCUUCCUGGCCUGCCA
rnacentral:tRNA from 2 species